ensembl:lncRNA HCG27 HLA complex group 27
GCAGUGGCGCCUAAAGUCUGCAAGGAGGAGGUCGCCUCUGUGCUUGCCUCCUUCCCCAGGGCUUGUGGUCCCUGACAAGGAGGACCCUGAGGGCAACCACACCUUGCCAUGCAGAGCACCUGGCUUCUCAUCUGCCAAGCUCACUCUGACCCGGCUGCAGGAAGGGAAGGAGCCAACCCCGGACUCAAGACUCAAGGGGACCAGAACCAGGGAGAUGAGACAUACCAGGGCUGGGCAGCUGUGGGGGUCCUUCCAGAGAGGAGCUGAGAUACGCCUACCUGGAGGGGCCCCUGGGCCUGGAGGGGCUCCUCAGUGUGACUGGGUGAAGUGUUUUCAGAGGACCAGGGUUGAGGUUGGGGGCAUCUCAUCCAGACCCUGCCGGCAUCUGCCCCAGAACCCAAGGGCCCCUCCUUCCUCCCUCCUCAAUGGAAAUGCUGGAGAUGUCCUCAGUCACCCUCUGAGCACUCACACAUCACCCCUUAUUUGGAAAUUUUUCUCACUCUAACCUUCCUUCCUGCCGCACCUUCUGCCCCAUCCCCAGGCUCUGGCCUCUCUCUCUCCUCUUCUACCCUUUAGCAGGUAAUGACUCAGUUCCCACUGAGGAGCCAGCUGUAGGUGAGAGUUUGGGCUCUCGGUGAGGUUGGGAGAAGGAAAAGGCUUAUGGGCCAGGGGGUGGGAGGGAGAAUGGGCACAGCCAGAGCAGAGUGGAAGGGUUGGGGGAGGCGAUAAAGACAGAUGUUUCCGUAUUACCAUUUUUCUUUCAUGGUCCGAGGGAGCUGCCCUUCCCCCAAGCCCAGGAAAGUGAAAAGAGAAGCAGGAACAGUAAAAUACUCCACAGGAAAGAAAAAUCUUAGUGAUCCCUCCUGCUGUCUCUUUCCUUUUGCCUAUUCUGGCAAAUUUUGUAAGUGAAAUUUGUUACCAAGAUGUGAAAAUCUUAUAAGAAAGUCUCUAAAUAUUUGAGAAUAAAAUUAUCAAUGUCUCAGCUCUGCAGGCUGAAAAAACGGAGGCUUUACAAAAUAAAAUCAUGCUUGGAAAACUUCUCCUCUGA